rnacentral:lncRNA from 1 species
AAGAAGACUAUCCUAUUUCUCACUACUUCAAUUCAUCAGCUCAUUACCACUAUGGAGGUUGCUUAUCCUUAUGACAAUCAUCCUGCUAAGAUCCAACUGUUAGAAAUUAUAAAUUUCUAAUUAAGGUGAACAUAUUUGAUACAAUGAUAUCAGCUAUUUUCGGGGUUACAUUAUAAGUGAUUUAAUUAGUGACACCCCUUAGAUUUCUAAAAGGUUAUAACGGAUAUGGUCUUAAUGGGUGGAUACCCAUCAGGUUAACCCAUAGAGGAUAAUGAGAACCCUAUAGGUUAACACAUAAGGAAGGUUAUGGUUCCCAAUACACCAA